rnacentral:rRNA from 1 species
CCUACGGGAGGCAGCAGUGAGGAAUAUUGGUCAAUGGACGAGAGUCUGAACCAGCCAAGUAGCGUGAAGGAUGGCUGCCCUAUGGGUUGUAAACUUCUUUUAUAUGGGAAUAAAACGUUCCACGUGUGGGAUUUUGUAUGUACCAUAUGAAUAAGGAUCGGCUAACUCCGUGCCAGCAGCCGCGGUAAUACGGAGGAUCCGAGCGUUAUCCGGAUUUAUUGGGUUUAAAGGGGGCGUAGGUGGAUUGUUAAGUCAGUUGUGAAAGUUUGCGGCUCAACCGUAAAAUUGCAGUUGAAACUGGCAGUCUGGAGUACAGUAGAGGUGUGCGGAAUUCGUGGUGUAGCGGUGAAAUGCUUAGAUAGCACGAAGAACUCCGAUUGCGAAGGCAGUUCACUGGACUGCAACUGACACUGAGGCUCGAAAGUGUGGGUAUCAAACAGGAUUAGAUACCCCUGUAGUC